rnacentral:rRNA from 1 species
GCGGUGAAAUGCGUAGAUAUCGGGAGGAACACCAGUGGCGAAGGCGACUACCUGGCCUGUUCUUGACGCUGAGGCGCGAAAGCUGGGGGAGCAAACGGGAUUAGAUACCCCGGUAGUCCCAGCCGUAAACGAUGGACACUAGGUGUUGGUGGUAUCAACCCCGCCAGUGCCGUAGCUAACGCAUUAAGUGUCCCGCCUGGGGAGUACGGCCGCAAGGCUAAAACUCAAAGGAAUUGACGG